rnacentral:rRNA from 1 species
UACGUAGGUGGCAAGCGUUGUCCGGACUUAUUGGGCGUAAAGGGAGCGCAGGCGGUGACUUAAGUCUGAUGUGAAAGCCCACGGCUCAACCGUGGAAGGUCAUUGGAAACUGGGGAACUUGAGUGCGGAAGAGGAGAGUGGAAUUCCAUGUGUAGCGGUGAAAUGCGUAGAUAUAUGGAGGAACACCAGUGGCGAAGGCGACUCUCUGGUCUGUAACUGACGCUGAGGCUCGAAAGCGUGGGGAGCAAACAGGAUUAGAUA